CCCCGAGAUGAGUUCUCCCUGAGACUUAGAGUCUCCUGAAGGAACGUUGAAGACGACGACGUUGAUAGGCCGGGUGUGUAAGCGCAGCGAUGCGUUGAGCUAACCGGUACUAAUGAACCGUGAGGCUUAACCUUAC
rnacentral:rRNA from 1 species